CUCUCUAACCUCUAGGUUAUAUAUCUCCCUCUCUAACCUCUAGGUUACCUCUCUAAUCUCUAGGUUAUAUAUUUCCCUCUAUAACCUCUAGGUUACCUCUCUAACCUCUAGGUUACAUAUUUCCCUCUAUAACCUCUAGGUUACCUCUCUAACCUCUAGGUUACCUAUUUCCCUCUCUAACCUCUAGGUUACCUAUUUCCCUCUCUAGCCUCUAGGUUACAUAUUUCCCUCUCUAACCUCUAGGUUAUAUAUUUCCCACUCUAACCUCUAGGUUAUAUAUUUCCCUCUCUAACCUCUAGGUUACCUAUUUCCCUCUCUAACCUCUAGGUUACAUAUUUCCCUCUCUAACCUCUAGGUUACCUAUCUCCCACUCUAACCUCUAGGUUACCUAUCUCCCACUCUAACCUCUAGGUUACCAAUCUCCCACUCUAACCUCUAGGUUACCUCUCUAACCUCUAGGUUACCUAUCUCCCUCUCUAACCUUUAGGUUACCUAUCUCCCUCUCUAACCUCUAGGUUACCUAUCUCCCUCUCUAACCUCUAGGUUACCUAUCUCCCACUCUAACCUCUAGGUUACCUCUCUAACCUCUAGGUUACCUAUUUCCCUCUCUUAACCUCUAGGUUACCUAUCUCCUACUCUAACCUCUAGGUUACCUCUCUAACCUCUAGGUUACCUAUCUCCUACUCUAACCUCUAGGUUACCUCUCUAACCUCUAGGUUACCUAUCUCCCACUCUAACCUCUAGUUUACCUCUCUAACCUCUAGGUUACCACUCUAACCUCUAGGUUACUACCUAUCUCCCUCUCUAACCUCUAGGUUAUAUAUCUCCCUCUCUAACCUCUAGGUUACCUCUCUAACCUCUAGGUUACCUAUCUCCCACUCUAACCUCUAGGUUACCUCUCUAACCUCUAGGUUACCUAUCUCCCACUCUAACCUCUAGGUUACCUCUCUAACCUCUAGGUUAUAUAUCUCCCUCUCUAACCUCUAGGUUAUAUAUUUCCCUCUCUAACCUCUAGGUUACAUAUUUCCCUCUCUAACCUCUAGGUUACAUAUUUCCCUCUCUAACCUCUAGGUUAUAUAUUUCCCACUCUAACCUCUAGGUUAUAUAUCUCCCUCUCUAACCUCUAGGUUACCUAUUUCCCUCUCUAAACUCUAGGUUACAUAUUUCCCUCUCUAACCUCUAGGUUACCUAUCUCCCACUCUAACCUCUAGGUUACCUCUCUAACCCCUAGGUUACCUAUCUCCCUCUCUAACCUCUAGGUUACCUAUCUCCUACUCUAACCUCUAGGUUACCUCUCUAACCUCUAGGUUACCUAUCUCCCUCUCUAACCUCUAGGUUACCUAUCUCCCACUCUAACCUCUAGUUUACCUCUCUAACCUCUAGGUUACCACUCUAACCUCUAGGUUACCUAUCUCCCUCUCUAACCUCUAGGUUAUAUAUCUCCCUCUCUAACCUCUAGGUUACCACUCUAACCUCUAGGUUACCUAUCUCCCUCUCUAACCUCUAGGUUACCUAUCUCCCUCUCUAACCUCUAGGUUACCUAUCUCCUACUCUAACUUCUAGGUUACCUCUCUAACCUCUAGGUUACCUAUCUCCCUCUCUAACCUCUAGGUUACCUAUCUCCCACUCUAACCUCUAGUUUACCUCUCUAACCUCUAGGUUACCACUCUAACCUCUAGGUUACCUAUCUCCCUCUCUAACCUCUAGGUUAUAUAUCUCCCUCUCUAACCUCUAGGUUACCUCUCUAACCUCUAGGUUACCUCUCUAACCUCUAGGUUAUAUAUCUCCCUCUCUAACCUCUAGGUUACCUCUCUAAUCUCUAGGUUAUAUAUUUCCCUCUAUAACCUCUAGGUUACCUCUCUAACCUCUAGGUUACAUAUUUCCCUCUAUAACCUCUAGGUUACCUCUCUAACCUCUAGGUUACCUAUUUCCCUCUCUAACCUCUAGGUUACCUAUUUCCCUCUCUAGCCUCUAGGUUACAUAUUUCCCUCUCUAACCUCUAGGUUAUAUAUUUCCCACUCUAACCUCUAGGUUAUAUAUUUCCCUCUCUAACCUCUAGGUUACCUAUUUCCCUCUCUAACCUCUAGGUUACAUAUUUCCCUCUCUAACCUCUAGGUUACCUAUCUCCCACUCUAACCUCUAGGUUACCUAUCUCCCACUCUAACCUCUAGGUUACCUAUCUCCCACUCUAACCUCUAGGUUACCAAUCUCCCACUCUAACCUCUAGGUUACCUCUCUAACCUCUAGGUUACCUAUCUCCCUCUCUAACCUUUAGGUUACCUAUCUCCCUCUCUAACCUCUAGGUUACCUAUCUCCUACUCUAACCUCUAGGUUACCUCUCUAACCUCUAGGUUACC